AUUUAAGUAAUUUAAAAUAAAAUUUUGAUUUGUGGUGUCAAAUAUGUAAGAUUUCUUACCUUAAAUU
rnacentral:tRNA from 1 species